rnacentral:misc_RNA from 1 species
GGUAUUUUAUUUUUCAUAUCUCAAAAGCUUUACAGGUGGGAAGUGGGCGUGAUUUGAAGAAAAACAAAGAUGGUAUUUGUGAUUAAGUCAAAGCAUAGGGUGCCAGCAUGAAUGAAAACAAUAAAAACCAGAAAAAAAUAAAAAACGAUUUCUCCUUUUCCCUCUAAUCUCUCUCUCUGUGUGUCGUGGCUCCUCGAUUUUGUUCCUGCAGAGCCCUACCUGGAUCUGUAAGUUAUUUUCAUUUUUCUUAUUAUUUAACUUAUCCGUAUAUUGUCGUAGAGAUCGAAUGCAUUCAAUUCAACCCAAUUUUGAUCUCUUUUGACGUUUUCACAUUAAGUUAUGCAUCUGCAACUUAUGAGCGAUCUCAUAAACCCUAGAUCUUGCUGUCUUCGCUUUUUUAUGGAUUUGAUUUAGGGUUUUAAUUUUUGGAUCUCGAGGUUUUGGUUGCAUUACAGCUCGAAUUUUGGGGUAUUGGAGGAGCGAGCUGUAAAUUGGGAACAAUUGAAGGGUAUAGAGGUCGUAUUUUUGUAGAUCCUUGGGGUUAAGGUUGUUAUUUUAGAUGGCUUCCAACCCUCCAUUUCAUGUGAUGGAGGAUCAGACGGAUGAGGAUUUCUUUGAUAAAUUAGUCGACGAUGAUUUUGGUCCCACCAGUUCAGGGUCGGUCCCUAAGUUCACGGAGGGCAGCGAUUCCGAUGAGGCGAAAGCGUUUGCCAAUAUGAGUAUUGAGGAUGCAAGCGGUGAAGGUGGAGUUGAUGGCAAAGAUGAGAAUGAUUUGGUGCAUGCAAGUGCAGGAUUAUCCAGUGCACAUGCUUUAGAAAGUGAUACAUUGGAUUUAUCCAACUCAUUGGGGUCCAAUACUAUAGUUGAGUCAAAAAAUGAUGGGAUUGAAUCAGAGGCUGUAUU